AUGCCGCGUGCAGGAAGAAUGCCCUAUGGGUUGUAAACUGCUUUUAUUUGGGAAUAAACCUCUUUACGUGUAGAGAGCUGAAGGUACCAAAUGAAUAAGCACCGGCUAACUCCGUGCCAGCAGCCGCGGUAAUACGGAGGGUGCAAGCGUUAUCCGGAAUCAUUGGGUUUAAAGGGUCCGCAGGCGGAUUUAUAAGUCAGUGGUGAAAUCCUAUCGCUUAACGAUAGAACUGCCAUUGAUACUGUAAGUCUUGAAUUCGGUCGGAGUGGGCGGAAUGUGUAGUGUAGCGGUGAAAUGCAUAGAUAUUACACAGAACACCGAUAGCGAAGGCAGCUCACUAGGCCUGAAUUGACGCUCAGGGACGAAAGCGUGGGGAUCAAACAGGAUUAGAUACCCUGGUAGUCCACGCUGUAAACGAUGAUUACUCGUUUUCGGCGAUAUACAGUCGGAGACUAAGCGAAAGUGAUAAGUAAUCCACCUGGGGAGUACGAUCGCAAGGUUGAAACUCAAAGGAAAUUGAC
rnacentral:rRNA from 1 species